UAGGAUGUCGGCAAUCUCAGAAACCUCUGGGAGUCUGCUUUUCAUGUAGCAAACAACCUAGUAAGAAAAACUAGCUUUGGAGCCAGCCCCGGCUGGAAAAAAUGAAGCUAAAUGAAACUCUCUCCACAAUAUUGGGCUAAAACCUUUUGAUGUUUCUUGCUGAGCCUACCUGGCUAAUGCCAUCAGUGAAAGACAAAUCAGAACAGAUGAAGAAUGUGACUUUCAGGGGAUGAAUGGAAGCGCCUCCUCUGGCUCAUGCUGGUGGGAGAAAAUGAACCAGCCCUGCUUUCUCUCCCUGGUUCAAUUCCCAGCAAAGGAAAAACAAUGUAAUUCAUGAUGAUGAUGACAAUGACAAUGACGACAACAACAAUAACCAACCUUUAACACAUCCUUAUAAUGUGCCAGACCCUGCGGAUCACUGUGAAAAGAACAUGAGAUGCCCUUUGCAGGGACAUGGAUGGAGCUGGAAGCCAUUAUCUUCAGCAAACUAACACAGGA
rnacentral:lncRNA from 1 species